rnacentral:lncRNA from 1 species
CGGAAGCGAGCUUUCCCCAUCCAUCGUCGUUGUGUUAUUUUUGUUUCAAGCUUACAAUUUGUUUUUUUUGUUUUCUAAGUUUUUAUUUGCUGUGUCAGCCUAAUCAGAUAUGCAAAUGCAAGACAUAUGAACAAGUUCAGUUACCAUUUUUCUUAGAAGAUGAUUUAUCUGAAAUUUUAUCUUAAGUAUACUUUAAAAAGAAAAAUUAUUGUAUUACAAGCAAAUAACUCCUUUAUUUCUUUUUUUUCUUUUUCAGAUUUUAAAAUUAUCCCAUGAAAUCCUUAACCUCAGAUCAAAUCUUGAGAUUCUAAACCUUUAAUUAUUACACUUAUUAAACAUCUGGACUAUUUAAUUUUCUUACAAAUUAAAACAAAAACUGAGACAAGAUCGUAUAGUAUAUUCACUUAUUUAGUUUAUUCAUCGAUUUAUUUGACCAACAGUUUGCUCUAUUGGAUAUGCUCUUUCUGACCAUUCAUUUGUUUACU